CUCCCCUCCUGCCUCCAGGUUCACAGGCUGAUCUCAGAAAUGGAGGUCAAUGAGCCAUGAUGUUCAAUGCUGGAUACAGAUUAAAAUCAACUUUAAAUAUUAAAGAUGAGCCCCAACCUGACUAAUUGAAUAGUGUAGUGUUACAGCACAAAAGGAUAUAUGUGCAGAAUGCCUCAUAACGCUAAUGUGAAGCCAGGGUUGAGCACCACUCAUAGGGGCAAGCUCAGCACACCUCCCGCCUUCUGGCUCUGCUCUCUUCUUGGGGUCUCAUUGUCACCAAUAUCCAGACAGUGGGUGGUCAAGGAGAAGAAACAUGCCAAACAGUCAAUAUGGACCAGGUGUGGGGGUGAGGAUGUGGCUGAAAUGAUAUCUAUGGUCCAGAAAUUCCAUCUACAUUUCUUCUGCAAUCCUAUUGUACAAGACAUGAUCAUCACACAUAUCCUUAUCAGAUCUGAGUAUCCUCAAGUAAAUUUAGAAAAUGCCACUUCUGCUGUCCUUAGAUUGUGCCUGCUUCCCCUUCGCCUCUCGCCAUGAUUGCAAGUUUCCUGAGACCUCCCCAGCCAUGCCUCCUGUACAGCCUGUGAAACUGUGAGUCUGUUAAAGCUCUUACCUUUAUAAAUUACCCAGUCUCAGGUAGUUCUUUAUAGCAAUGUGAAAACGGACUAAUACAAAAGUCAAACUCGUGUUCCUUGUUUUAAGUCUACUGUGGACUCUGGCUGAACUGUUAGGGAGGCAGGGCAAGAGAACAGAACACAUCUAACAGAAGGGCCAGUAAAUGUUAACUUUUUUCCACUGACACAGAAAAUAAUGAAAUUUUAAAGCAGAGUAAAAUGAAAUGUAACAAGAAGAAAAAUGAUGUACAGUUUCUAAUGACCUUCUAUAAACUAUUAAAAUAAUAAAAUGUAGCGAAUUGUUCACAACGUCCAAAUACUUUCAACAUAGAGUUUAUUUUACU
rnacentral:lncRNA from 1 species